GAUGAACGCUGGCGGCGUGCCUAAUACAUGCAAGUCGAGCGAACGGACGAGAAGCUUGCUUCUCGGAUGUUAGCGGCGGACGGGUGAGUAACACGUGGAUAACCUACCUAUAAGACUGGGAUAACUUCGGGAAACCGGCGCUAAUACCGGAUAAUAUUUUGAACCGCAUGGUGCAAAAGUUAAAGGCGGUCUUGCGGUCACUUAUAGAUGGAUCCGCGCUGCAUUAGCUAGUUGGUAAGGUAACGGCUUACCAAGGCAACGAUGCAUAGCCGACCUGAGAGGGGGAUCGGCCACACUGGAACUGAGACACGGUCCAGACUCCUACGGGAGGCAGCAGUCGGGAACCUUACGCAAUGGGCGAAAGCCUGGCGGAGCAACGCCGCGUGAGUGACGAAGGUCUCCGGAUCGUAAAGCUCUGUUAUGAGGUAAGAACAUAUGUGUAAGUAAAUGUGCACAACUUGACGGUACCUACUCAGAAAGCACCGGCUAACUACGUG
rnacentral:rRNA from 1 species